CCAUGCAUCCGGCCUCACUGAGGGUGCAUACACGGACCGGAAGAACAGCUAACGAAUCACAAACGCACGACUAGAGUGCAACAGUAGUGCCUCGUCGAAACACACGCGACCCGCGUCCCCCUUCCUCUUCCCACCGACCUACCGACCCAUACGUACGCAAACAACUCCAUGCUUUUGAGCGCGGUCACCGGGCGGCUGUACGGCCUCGCCAAGGGGCUCGCGAAGGUGUACCUUCAUAAUGAGACUGUGGACCUGACUCAGGAAAUGCUGCUGGCCGACUCCAUCCCGGGCGCGGCGGAGGCCUUCAUCGGUGCUGCCUCCGCCGAUGGCAGGGCAUUGCUGACGGACUUCGUCGUUGUGCUUGGUGCGCUGAUCAUCGUCGUCGCCCUUCCCAGCUGCCUUGUGCGCUUUUUUUGUUGGCUGUGCAUCGGCACUUCGAUCAAAGCCAGCAGUAUUGAGAAGGCUCAUGCCCACAAGAAGAGCCACCAGAUCCAGUCACAGCGGGAGCGGGCAGAGCACAAGCGGCGGAGGAACAAAGUCGAGGAGAAGGCUUCCGCGCCGGCCCAGCAGAAUCUGCCGCAGGUUUCAGAGGUGCUGUCGAAGAUGCACCAGAAUCAGGAGAGUGGAGCGGCCAAGAGCGGUGGCAAGGGCAAACAAGGAGCCGCUGGGAAGCCGAAAGAGUCGGCUAUCGCAGCACCAGCGCAGCAGCAGCUGCUUCAGCAGCAGGAGGCGGAGUUCACCGCCACGUCGCGCCGCACGCCGCAGGACACGCGCGCCGCACCCAAGUCCAUCCUCCGCGGCUUUCCGGAGGUGGACAUACUGCUCACCUCUCCGGGGCAGAGCUACCUACUGAUCGGGUGUCGCAGCAAGCGCAAGGCGUCCCUCUACCCGCAGAGCGAUGCCGCCGCGUUCAUGGAGCGUGGCAAGGAGCUACAGGAGAGGCACUUCACGGAUGUGAACGCGGUGGUAACCACGGCGGUUGGACUUGAGAAGAAGGCGGAGAUCUACGCCGCACAGUUCUCCAUGGACGACACGCGCCUAAUCGCUGGCGAGCGCUUCACAGACACAUUUGUCUGCUUCUCGGUGUCGGGUCGCACCAACGUGAACCUGACUCAGCUGUGGUCGAUGAAGCUGCCGGACCACCGCCUCGUCUCCUCGGUGCCGCGGUGGAGCGUGCUCGGGCAGGACAGCCUUUUGAGCAUCGUGGACCAGACGGCAGAGGUGGAGGUUAUCACUCGGAGCGCGGCGAAGACGUCGACGGCGCACAAGGACAAGUUCAAGGUAGGCAGCGCGCUCGCGUGGGCGGUUUGCGACGAUCGCAUUGCGCUCGGCGGCUCCUUUCUGCGUGAGCCGCGGCUCUCGCGUGUGGUGCAGCGUGCUGACAGUGGCAGUAUUACCCUAGAGCCGGUUGCGGUGCUCCCCAACGCAGCGAAGUUGCGUGUGUCCGCGCUGGCUUUUGUGGCCCCAGGCGCCCCUGCCUUCAACACGCGCAGCUACAUGAUUGUGUUUCUGGAGAACGGCAUCGGCACCAUCUACGAUGUGCAGACCCCCUCAACGCAGAACACGCCGCAGGCGGUGAGCGGCUUUGCCGACACGGACUACGCCGGACACCGCGUCGACGCGCCACUGUGCAUUCUUACGGCCGUGCGUGGGCAGGCGUAUCAUGAGGUGCUGCGCAUCGCGCUGCUCCGCGGCCCAAAUGUGACGGUGUAUGAGCAGUCUGGCAAGGCAGACGGCGGCAACUUUCAGAUGGUGCGCGUCGCGGACCUGUACGACGUGCAGGAGGGUGACGCCGUGAAGCACGCCGCGUUUCUGCAAAACGGUCUUGGCCUGGCCACUAGUGGGCACGCGGACGGACGCCAUGUUCGCAUGUUCACUCUACCGUCUCCCGGCAAGGCGGCCUAAUCAUUGAGCACCGCUAAGGGAGCGCUUGAGGAAGACUGCGUCCUUCCCUCUGCGCUGAUCACACGCUUGAAGCACUCUCGCACCACCCUCAAACACAUUUGCACGCGUGUGUGUGUGUGCGCGGCGGCGGCGGCACAUGGUUUCUGGUUCUUAUGUCGACACCCCCGUCCGCAAUGUAAUGGCACGAACCCUUUUCAUUCUCUCACUGUAGGCAGCGGCAACUAGAUGCCCUCAUGUGCUGGCGAUGGCAACCAUGUGUCUGCCUCUGUCAGUGGGUUGGUCACGUGGGGGGUCAUUGAUUGCCGUACUCGUUGUUAUCGGGUGCGCUGUGGCCUGUUUGUUGUUGUAGUUGAUGGUUUUCGCUUGUUGCCCUCUUAUCCGCUGUCGCUGCGCUUAUACAGCGCCACACCUACAGUGGCAACGAAAAACGCAAACAAAGGAGGCAGCGUCCCACCCGUUCGCACAUCCUCGGGCGCGGGCGCACUCCUGGAUUUGCUCUUCUACACAUAUGGCAUACAUCCCACUCCCCUCCACAAUCCACUGAUGAAACCGCUCUUCGGGUUUGUGUAUUUGUGUGUGAUGGAUUGAACUCG
rnacentral:misc_RNA from 1 species